GAGCCGACCUGAACACAUCACAUUUGACACUGUUUGUGACCAUUGGUUAGUUUUUUUUUUUUAAGCUAACUAUCUCUAUAUCCUGCCGAUUUUAACAUGGAUUUAAAAACUGCAUUACUAUUUUUAACUGACGGGACUUUCUACACCGUCCGGUUGUGUGAUUACUACCGCUGCUUUGAAUGACUGUUGAUGCACACGGUGCCGACUCCGAGCCCGUCUGCACAACGUCUGCAGCAGCAGCAGCUGACAGAAUUUUCGUGAAGGUACAACACUUUUAUGUAGGCCUACAGUCCAGU